UCAGAUUGUAAUCAGAGGUUAAUGGGGAGGGUCUCACCGACAGCAGCUUUCACCACCAACCUCCAAACUUUAGAUCAAAACGGGACAAAAGUUCUGCAUCAGAGACAUCCGUGAUGGCUCGCUUUCUCUUCCUGUUUUCGGUCCUGAACCUGUGGCUUCAAGGUUUUUGUCAGGAUGUGAUCCAGCAUCCAGAGAUCAGCUGGAGUUUUGCUUCCCGGUCUGCAGAGAUGACCUGCCGACACACCAGAGACAAAGGUCACAACCAGAUGUACUGGUUCAGGCAGCGCCCCGGCGAGGCCAUGACCCUCGUGGCGUACACCGUGUUUGGCGGGACACCGGACUACGGCGGCGGCCCUCAAACCAAAUAUUCAUCCGUCAAAGAGACCAUUGAGGAGGGGGCUCUGACUGUGAAGGACCUGCAGCCCGACGACGCCGGCCUGUAUUUCUGCGCCGUCAGCAAACACGGUGAUGCAAAGAGCCAGGAAGGCUGAACAAAAACUCAUGGGCACACCUCUCCCCAGUAGGUGGCGCUGACGGUCUAUGAAAGGUGAACUGAGCAGGUUAAAAGGAUGAGCGUGUCAGUAGGUUGGAGCCACUCGAGACAGGAGAUCAUGCCGCCACUCUUCCUUUCAUUUGUGCUCAUAGGUGUUUGUCUGGGUGUUGAAAUCAAACAAACACCUUCAGAGACUUUAAAAAACCCAGGAGACGAAGUCCAGCUGGUCUGCAGCCACGGGAAAACCGACUACACCUACAUGCAA